UUUAACUGAAGAGUUUGAUCAUGGCUCAGAUUGAACGCUGGCGGCAGGCUUAACACAUGCAAGUCGAGCGGGGGAAGGUAGCUUGCUACCGGACCUAGCGGCGGACGGGUGAGUAAUGCUUAGGAAUCUGCCUAUUAGUGGGGGACAACAUCUCGAAAGGGAUGCUAAUACCGCAUACGUCCUACGGGAGAAAGCAGGGGAUCUUCGGACCUUGCGCUAAUAGAUGAGCCUAAGUCGGAUUAGCUAGUUGGUGGGGUAAAGGCCUACCAAGGCGACGAUCUGUAGCGGGUCUGAGAGGAUGAUCCGCCACACUGGGACUGAGACACGGCCCAGACUCCUACGGGAGGCAGCAGUGGGGAAUAUUGGACAAUGGGGGGAACCCUGAUCCAGCCAUGCCGCGUGUGUGAAGAAGGCCUUAUGGUUGUAAAGCACUUUAAGCGAGGAGGAGGCUACUCUAGUUAAUACCUAGGGAUAGUGGACGUUACUCGCAGAAUAAGCACCGGCUAACUCUGUGCCAGCAGCCGCGGUAAUACAGAGGGUGCGAGCGUUAAUCGGAUUUACUGGGCGUAAAGCGUGCGUAGGCGGCUUAUUAAGUCGGAUGUGAAAUCCCCGAGCUUAACUUGGGAAUUGCAUUCGAUACUGGUGAGCUAGAGUAUGGGAGAGGAUGGUAGAAUUCCAGGUGUAGCGGUGAAAUGCGUAGAGAUCUGGAGGAAUACCGAUGGCGAAGGCAGCCAUCUGGCCUAAUACUGACGCUGAGGUACGAAAGCAUGGGGAGCAAACAGGAUUAGAUACCCUGGUAGUCCAUGCCGUAAACGAUGUCUACUAGCCGUUGGGGCCUUUGAGGCUUUAGUGGCGCAGCUAACGCGAUAAGUAGACCGCCUGGGGAGUACGGUCGCAAGACUAAAACUCAAAUGAAUUGACGGGGGCCCGCACAAGCGGUGGAGCAUGUGGUUUAAUUCGAUGCAACGCGAAGAACCUUACCUGGCCUUGACAUACUAGAAACUUUCCAGAGAUGGAUUGGUGCCUUCGGGAAUCUAGAUACAGGUGCUGCAUGGCUGUCGUCAGCUCGUGUCGUGAGAUGUUGGGUUAAGUCCCGCAACGAGCGCAACCCUUUUCCUUACUUGCCAGCAUUUCGGAUGGGAACUUUAAGGAUACUGCCAGUGACAAACUGGAGGAAGGCGGGGACGACGUCAAGUCAUCAUGGCCCUUACGGCCAGGGCUACACACGUGCUACAAUGGUCGGUACAAAGGGUUGCUACACAGCGAUGUGAUGCUAAUCUCAAAAAGCCGAUCGUAGUCCGGAUUGGAGUCUGCAACUCGACUCCAAUGAAGUCGGAAUCGCUAGUAAUCGCGGAUCAGAAUGCCGCGGUGAAUACGUUCCCGGCCUUGUACACACCGCCCGUCACACCAUGGGAGUUUGUUGCACCAGAAGUAGCUAGCCUAACUGCAAAGAGGGCGGUUACCACGGUGUGGCCGAUGACUGGGGUGAAGUCGUAACAAGGUAGCCGUAGGGGAACCUGCGGCUGGAUCACCUCCUUAA
rnacentral:rRNA from 1 species